GUCUACAGCCAUGCCACCCUGAGCAAGCCUAAUCCCAUCUGUUUGCAGAAGCUAAGCAGGGUCGGGCCUGGUUAGUACUUGGAUGGGAGACCACCUAGGAAGACCAGGUGCUAUAGACA
ensembl:rRNA 5S_rRNA 5S ribosomal RNA